CGUUCUUAGUUCGUGGAGUGAUCUGUCUGCUUAAUUGCGUUUCAAAUUUUAUAUUUGUUAACAUGCGAGUCUUCAAUGACGGCCACUCCACCUUAUAGACAUUAUAUGAUAUGCACAUUUGUGUAUUUGAUUAUAACUUGUCUGGAGUCUGGCUCGAUUUUUUUGACUCAAUUGAACGCAACGGACGUGAUUGCAAGUCCUUGUUGAACAAAUUAUAUAUAUACUACUUCAUCAUUAGUAUAUAUAGUUCGCUUCUCAUGUCGUAGCAGUCAAACGGGCGGGCGUCUUAAUUGGCGCGGUCACGAGGCUUAAUAUGCUGCGGCUGGGAAAACUUGGGCGACCGCUGUAAUACUUCUCUCUUAAACCAGAGGAAGAUUGCGGCAAUAACAGGUCUGUGAUGCCCUCAGAUGUCCCGGGCCGCACACGUGCUACAUUGAUUAGCGCAGUGCGCAUACUUACAUAUAGAUCAUUGAUUGGUUAUUUAUAACCGUCAAUAUCGCCUUGUCUGAAAGGACUAGGUAAUCUAUUGUAAGUGCUGGUUCCUCCUCCCGUUGAGCAUUUUAAUAAUGGUCUCUCUACAUCCCUAGCACAUGAUGUCUAGUGCGAUUGUAGUUGAGUCUU
rnacentral:rRNA from 1 species